AGUUUGAUCCUGGCUCAGAUUGAACGCUGGCGGCAUGCCUUACACAUGCAAGUCGAACGGUAACGGGCCUUCGGGUGCCGACGAGUGGCGAACGGGUGAGUAAUGCAUCGGAACGUACCUUUCAGUGGGGGAUAACGUAGCGAAAGUUACGCUAAUACCGCAUAUUCUGUGAGCAGGAAAGCAGGGGAUCGCAAGACCUUGCGCUGAUUGAGCGGCCGAUGUCAGAUUAGCUAGUUGGUGAGGUAAAGGCUCACCAAGGCGACGAUCUGUAGCGGGUCUGAGAGGAUGAUCCGCCACACUGGAACUGAGACACGGUCCAGACUCCUACGGGAGGCAGCAGUGGGGAAUUUUGGACAAUGGGGGCAACCCUGAUCCAGCCAUGCCGCGUGAGUGAAGAAGGCCUUCGGGUUGUAAAGCUCUUUCGGCCGAGAAGAAAUCGUAUGGGUUAAUACCCUGUGCGGAUGACGGUACCGGCAUAAGAAGCACCGGCUAACUACGUGCCAGCAGCCGCGGUAAUACGUAGGGUGCGAGCGUUAAUCGGAAUUACUGGGCGUAAAGCGUGCGCAGGCGGUUUUGUAAGACAGGCGUGAAAUCCCCGGGCUCAACCUGGGAACUGCGCUUGUGACUGCAAGGCUAGAGUACGGCAGAGGGGGGUGGAAUUCCACGUGUAGCAGUGAAAUGCGUAGAGAUGUGGAGGAACACCAAUGGCGAAGGCAGCCCCCUGGGUCGAUACUGACGCUCAUGCACGAAAGCGUGGGUAGCAAACAGGAUUAGAUACCCUGGUAGUCC
rnacentral:rRNA from 1 species